UAAUGUGGCAAACUGCCAUGAUUUCAAUAUUGAUUUACAACUAUAUCCCAGUUCAUAAACCUGUAAUAGUGACUUCUGCUGUCAUAUUAUAUGUGUGUAGUCAAGAAAAAGUGUUUUUAAGUCAUAAAACAAUAAUUUGGGAAAUGAAAAUGUUAGGAAUCAUCAAUGUGUUGAACUAAACCACAUAAGCAUUAAAUUUCUGACUGAUGUAUGUUUCUAGUAUUGUCAGUACUAAAAGAGUAGCUGCACACCAUGCAAUUUUUAAUAAAAAAUAUUUAGAGAAGUGAAUUUUAAUCAAGAGAUUUGACUCUAUUCCCUCUAGAUUUGACCUUUUUCAAAGACUGUGAUUUUAUCUGUUGCUAUGAAAUGUAAAGCAAAAACCAAGAGAAAUAGAGACUUUUGCCUGGUCCAUAUGUAUACAUAAGACUACUGUUCUGAUCUGGAAGCAUUUUACAAUAUUUUCUCCUUGAAUAAUGUUAUAAGAGAGGAGGGACAAAUGACUUCAUUGUUAACAAAACUAAUUUCAAACUCUUCUCUUUGAUCCAGUGAUGAGGUCUGUUAUGAUUACUGAGGGAUACAUUAAUUAAUGUGCUGAAACUCAAUAGAGUAUUUCCUGACUAGAAAUCCACGCUCAGGUUAGUAUUUUCUGUUUUGUUACCAUCACACAUUUUUCACUGACCACUGAAUUAAAAGCACUUCAUUACUAAAGUAUAAAUAUUAUUGGACACUGUUUCAAAAUUUUAUUUCUUUCAAUAACUUUACAUAUUGUUUUAUUAGUUUGGUUGUUUGGGGUUUUUUUCUCCAUUAUUUGCUUUUAUCUGGACACUGAAGAUUUAUAUGACUAAACACCUAUCUGAAGUACCUAAGUGGAGGUUUUUAAAAGUGAUAUCUUUUAUAUUGAAAGAAACUAACAACUGAAGAAAUAGUGGAGUAGUCUCACAAAAGGCUUAUUUCCAUAUUUAAAUCCAUAUUUAAUACAAACGUCUAAACUGAUAUAAAAUCCACAGUAAGAUAUAGUAAUCAAAUCAUAUAAACUUGUUGCAUUAAAAAAAAAUAAGUCUCAUUAACUGGAUUCAAACUUGAGACAUAUUUUACAUAACUACAAGCCACUUGAUUAAAACUUCCCAUUAACCUUCCAAAUAAUAUCAAAAGAAAAACUAGGCUAGAAAAGGGAAAAUCAAUGUAAAAGCACUGUGGAUGUUCUUGAGAGAGGUUUUGCACAUGUUAUGGUUAUGUUAGAUAAGCUUUUCUUUUAGAAGGGAAAGUCAUCAUACAGAAACAUUUGCAAUUUUAAUAUCAUACAGCAGGGUCAGGCAAUAGAACCUUCUGUCACAGGUCAAUCACCUUAAAAUAGGUGCAAGUGUGCAGAGUGCAAAGAUGAAAGCCUCAAAAUGAAUAAAAGAUAGUAAGAGUCACAGAAUCACAGAAUCAUAGAAUUAUUUAGGUUGGAGAAGACCUGACUUUUUGCAAGCACCCUUUCUGCUGAGGGAUUGAGGCAAUGUUUCUGGAAUAAAGUCCUUGAAUGUGAAAUCAUCUCUUGUUUCAAACCCACUCUGCAAGAGGUUCAUCCAAACUUGAACUCUUUGAAUUUUUGACAACAGAUUUGUGUUUUGUCUGUAUUGCAAUUAUAUUGCAGUACCUUUAAUUCAACAGGAGUAGGGAGAUCUUAAUUAAAAAUAAGUAGGUAAAAAAAGCCAGAAUUUUACUUUCAAGCUAACUUCAAAAUCCUUGAUAUUGCUUAUUUCAUUUCUGCAUCCUGUGAUGCCCCAUAUGUUGUAAAGCUUAUCUUUUUUUUCUACUAAAACAGGCUAUUCUGUAGAUUAUAAUGUUAUUUUCAUUUUCAUUGUACAGAAAGAAAUUCUUCCUUUUCUCAGUAAAUACAUCAGUUUCUUUGCUCUAUAAAAGCACUAUUUUAGUAGUUCAAGAGGCCUAUUCAAUUAGACUUGAGAAAUGCUUUUAUUUAUUACUUUAUCCUUUUUUAAAUGACUUUUUUUUUCUCUGAAAAUGAAAAAAAAAAUUGGACAGUUAACAAGGGAAUUGAAGUCCUUUUUCUGCUUCACUAGGGGAGAGUCACAGAUAGCAAGGUUCUGUCUCUACACUGUUCCACUCCUUCGUUAAGAGAAUUAUAUCAAUAUUUUCUGGUAUCAAAAGUAAUCUUUUGUCUGUGUCAAAGAAGGUAAUACCACUUUUGAAAAUGCUGAUUUUCUUUUUUUUUUAAAUUUAAUUUUCCUUGGAUAUUUGUGGUUACUUCUCUGUGUUUGAGGCUAUUGUUGGAACAUCAAGAUCAAGCUCUUCCACACAUGGUAAUGGUGAUCAUUUCCCUCAUCCCAUACUGGAUUAUAAAGAACUCUCUGAGGAGAUUUGACUUCUGUCAUUCAAGUUUAGAGUCCUGCUCCUUUUGCAUGAAGAAUGGGAUAAGCUCUCACAUCAAAAAUAUCAUCCCAGCCAAGGUCAUUUAAUUCCAUGGAAUCAGAGCUGAGGCUUCAGCACACGGAGACGUUUAUAGCCCGCUGUCAUUCUGGCAGGUGACAGAAAUGGAGGGUGGAGCAGGUGCCGAGCAGAAUUGUCAUAUUUUCAUAGCAAGGCCGGAGAGCUCUGUGAUUUAUGGAUGCUCAAUGUACAACGGUGACGCCCCACAAGUGAAUACACAAGUUGCAAAUCUGUAAACAGCUACGGUGGGAAUUUGCUAAUCCCUGCUUGCUGUAGCUCAUUCUGCACAGGUCCUCAAGCUUUGUAUAAGAAAGUUUUGACAUUGUGCUCUGUAAAAACACAUGCAGCAUCUUGCCAGGGCUUGUCAGCAAGGACAAUAACACAUUUUACUAAGUCUGUAAAGCCUAUCAUUGUUCAUAAUGUCACACUGUUGAGAACUGGAAAAGCAGAACUAAUAAGGAACAAUUUCUAGAACAAUUUCUAAUGUUCCUUGAAAAGCAAAUGUGUAGUUUUACUUAUUAUGUUGAAUCAAGGUAAGCCGAAGCUCUGAAUAAAACUAAAGACUAACAGCUUUUUUUCCAUACUGAACAGACAAUAAACCUGUCAUAGCUGGUAUCCAGGUAUCCUGUUUAGCUGGGAACAGAUAUUUCUUUCUUUAUUUUUUAGUCCUUACCAACUAUUACCUUUUUUUAUAUAUUUUAAAGGAAGAUACGGUCAGAGCCUUUCAUUAUUAACAGAAAUGUAAAAGUUAAGGAAAAUUAAACUGAAGUUUAAAAAAAAUAAAUCUGCUGUGUCUUAAAAGAAAAUAUUAGGGUUUUUUUCACUCAGAAAUGUCUAUUCACAGAGAAAGACCAUUGAUAAAUAUGAUUUUUAACUGAGAAAUUUCCUAAAAAAUGACCAUGCCUACGUAGAUGUUCUUUUUGACACAACAGAUUAAAAAAUUCUAUGACAUAGUGUAUCCUGAAGUUUACAGGAGUUUCAUCAACAUAUCUAGAAGUUCAAUUCCUUGGAAAUUGGGCCUAGAAUCACUGCAACCCUUGAAUCCUGAAAACUGAUGCUAUUUCAGAGAAAGGUCUUUAAAAUAUUUUCAGAACAUCUGUUGAAAAAAAAAGCUAUCAAAAACCCAAAACAGCUUUCCAAGUUUCUAUCACUGAAAGAUAUUUAUUAGCAGCUAAGGAUAGUUCCCUGGUCCAUGGGUGGACCUGGUGUUACUCAGUAGAACCAGUAAAUUUCAAAUAAUUUCCAGAAACUUUGCAACCUAUGAGCUCUACAAGAUUGAAAACAUCAUGAUUGGAGCUCUUCUUGGAGAGGGAGAAAAACCAAGGAGAAAAAACAUGUUGUUUGGCUCCUGUUCUAUCACAGUAGAACCCAACCCAACUAGUUUACAUGGCUAGCUUAGAACUGGCCUCAUGGAUAUCCUCAGUAUCUCAUUAAUCCAAAGUACCUAGUUCUCCAUAAAUAUCAAAUGGAGGUGAUGAAAGGAAAAUGCCUCUGAAAGCCAUCACAGGCUUUUGGUCUAUCUAUUGUAGCUCCUCCCUCACCACACUGGCUAUGCAAGAGAUGGUUUUCCUUCACAGCAUGAUGCAUUCAGUGCCCAGGAAGCAUUAGCCUUUCCCAUCAGAGCUGUUUCUUUGAAGCUCUGCCACAAUCUCCAGUUGCAAUUCUCUGUCUUUGAAUGGGGGAUGCAAAUUCCAUCCCUUUCACACUGAGCAGAUCAGCCUCCAGGCACUCCAGUAAGAGCACUGUCAUUCAGAGGAGGGGGCAACACACCUUCAGUCAGGGCUGAAUUUUGACUCUCACUGGGGAAUUCCUUAAAGGUUUGUGCCUGUAAAUUUAGGCUGCAUUGCAGUGAACGAAUCUUUCACAAAGGAUUUCACCAACCAUUUAGGAUGUGAAUUUCAGCAUCUACAUCUGGGCAUCCAAGGAACUCAAAGGGUGAUUAGUGAUGCACCUAUGGAUUAACAAAUCUGGGGGUUAGACAGUGAAGAAAACAGUCUGGAUUGCUGCUUGGGAGUUUGCUUGCAUCUCAGUUAAAGAGGGGGAUAAGAAAAAGAGAUAGAGUCCUUAGGGUAUGAUGCUGUCUUUACAUAUGGCACAGUUCCUUAAAUUUGUACUUGUGUAGGACAGGCACAGUUAACAGUUUCAGAGAGGUUUCAUGUCCUGCUUCCAAUUGCACAGCUUGGAUGUUAUCCUUAUGGACGUGUUUGCUUUCAGAACUUUACAUGAAGGAAAUUUCAAAUGCAAAUGUAUUGUCAUCUUGUUCUAAAUAUUGUCCCUAAAUGUGGGAAGCCACAUCUCUAGUGGGAUUGUGUACAUUUCACUCUGAGAAAAAACCCUCACUUUUUAUACUUAUUUUAAAAUACUUGCUUGAAAACAUAUUUUAUAAUUAUAUUUUUUAAUUGCUUCUGGUGGUUCAUGUACCUUUUACCCUUUGAGAAAAAUUCAGAGCUUUUCAAAUUGUUGGUGUUUGUUGAUUUCUCUCCAAAGCAUAUAUGUUCAUAUGGAGUAAAGCAUUCUUUAUUAGACUGAUAAACAAGUUAUUCAUUUGACCCUCAAAAAAAGAAGAAAAACUUCCUUGAUGAUAUACCUUGAAACAUACAGCAAUUUGAUCAAAAAAUACUCUGAUGAUACUUUCA